GGGGGUGUUCUGGCUUCGCCUGGAUAGUGAACCUUUUGGAAGCGGGUCGAGGAGUUCCUUUCACUCGCUAAAACACUGGAAACUAUAAAAUUAUCUGCAAACGAUAAUAAUUACGCUUUAGCUGCCGCGUAGGUAGUUAACGCCUGAGUGAGUCCUGUCUGUGGAAUCGUCUCAGGUGUCAUAUAAAGCAGACUUACUUUAUUCUCUUGUCUGGGUGAAUAAAGGACAUUAAAUUCAGGCUGGCAUUAAAUAAUCCAGUCCAAUGGAGUGUUUAAUGUAAGACUAAUAAUUGGACUACACUCGUAGAAACUACUGGGUGAGCUAUUCAGUACGUGGGUUCGACUCCCACCACCUCCACCA
rnacentral:tmRNA from 1 species